rnacentral:rRNA from 1 species
GAGUGAAGAGGGAAGAGCUCAUCAUUGGAAUCUGGCAGUGUUGCACUGUCCGAGUUGUAGAUGAGGAGUAGUCCAUCUGGACUGCAUGGCGUCCAAGUACAAUAGGCCGUCAGUGGGACAUCAUAGAGGGUGACAAUCCCGUCCUUGAUGCCAAUGUGCAAGUCCGUUACGAUGGCUAUCUCAGAGAGUCGAGCAGUUUGGGAUUUGCUGCUUAAACAUGGGAGGUAGAUUCCUUCUAAAGCUAAAUACAGGCGAGAGACCGAUAGAGAACAAGUACCGCAAGGGAAAGAUGAAAUAGAACUCUGUGAAGGGAGUCAAAAGGCGUGAAAUUGUUGCGAGAGAAGCGAUUCAAGUCAGCGUAGCUAGGCCCAUCAAGCGUCUCGCUUUGGACUAGCUUUGCCAGCGGUCUUGUCCUCGGAGACUUGACAAAUUGUGUCCAGCCUGGUAUGCACAGGCAGCCCCCCUGGGGGCCAGCGGCACGGCUGGUGGAAUGGCUUGCAAUCGACCCGUCUUGAAACACGGACCAAGGAGUCUAACAUGUAUGCGAGUAUAAGGGUGGCAAACCCGUAUGCGCAAUGAAAGUGAUUUUCGGUGAUUGAGAAUGGCCUGAUGACCAGACAAGCAAUACAUGUCCCUCGGACGGCCAUUGCCCAAGUUCCGUGGUAGAUCCCACGAACAUGGAGUUGGAGCAUACAUGCUAGGACCCGAAAGAUGGUGAACUAUGCCUGGACAAAGCGAAGCCAAAGGAAACUCUGGUGGAGGCUUGUAGCGAUUCUGACGUGCAAAUCGAUCGUCUGAUCUG